UACGUAGGGUCCGAGCGUUGUCCGGAAUUAUUGGGCGUAAAGGGCUCGUAGGCGGUUUGUCGCGUCGGGUGUGAAAACCCGGGGCUUAACCCCGUGCCUGCUUCCGAUACGGGCAGACUAGAGGUAUGCAGGGGAGAACGGAAUUCCUGGUGUAGCGGUGAAAUGCGCAGAUAUCAGGAGGAACGCCGGUGGCGAAGGCGGUUCUCUGGGCAUUACCUGACGCUGAGGAGCGAAAGUGUGGGGAGCGAACAGG
rnacentral:rRNA from 1 species